rnacentral:rRNA from 1 species
GAUGAACGCUAGCGGCAGGCUUAACACAUGCAAGUCGAGGGGUAUUUAUCUUCGGAUAGAGAGACCGGCGCACGGGUGCGUAACGCGUAUGCAAUCUACCUUUUACAGAGGGAUAGCCCAGAGAAAUUUGGAUUAAUACCUCAUAGUAUUUAGACUCGGCAUCGAGAUUAUAUUAAAGUCACAACGGUAAAAGAUGAGCAUGCGUCCCAUUAGCUAGUUGGUAAGGUAACGGCUUACCAAGGCUACGAUGGGUAGGGGUCCUGAGAGGGAGAUCCCCCACACUGGUACUGAGACACGGACCAGACUCCUACGGGAGGCAGCAGUGAGGAAUAUUGGACAAUGGGCGCAAGCCUGAUCCAGCCAUGCCGCGUGCAGGAUGACGGUCCUAUGGAUUGUAAACUGCUUUUAUACGAGAAGAAACACUGCUACGUGUAGCAGCUUGACGGUAUCGUAAGAAUAAGGAUCGGCUAACUCCGUG